AGAAUCAACGCUGGCGGCGUGCCUAACACAUGCAAGUCGAACGAGAAAGUGGUAGCAAUACCAUGAGUAAAGUGGCGCACGGGUGAGUAACACGUGACUAACCUACCCUGGAGUGGGGGAUAACUGAGGGAAACCUUAGCUAAUACCGCAUAACACCUACGGGUCAAAGGAGCAAUUCGCUUCAGGAGGGGGUCGCGGCAGAUUAGCUAGUUGGCGGGGUAAUGGCCCACCAAGGCAGUGAUCUGUAUCCGGCCUGAGAGGGCGCACGGACACACUGGAACUGAAACACGGUCCAGACUCCUACGGGAGGCAGCAGUGGGGAAUUUUGCGCAAUGGGGGAAACCCUGACGCAGCAACGCCGCGUGGAGGAUGAAGUCCCUCUGGACGUAAACUCCUUUCGAUCGGGACGAUAAUGACGGUACCGAGAGAAGAAGCCCCGGCUAACUUCGCGCCAGCAGCCGC
rnacentral:rRNA from 1 species